rnacentral:rRNA from 1 species
GAACCAGUACCGUGAGGGAAAGGCGAAAAGAACCCCGGGAGGGGAGUGAAAUAGAUCCUGAAACCGCAUGCAUACAAACAGUCGGAGCCUGGAAACGGGUGACGGCGUACCUUUUGUAUAAUGGGUCAGCGACUUACAUUCAGUGGCAAGCUUAACCGAUUAGGGAAGGCGUAGCGAAAGCGAGUCCGAAUAGGGCGUUCAGUCGCUGGGUGUAGACCCGAAACCAAGUGAUCUAUCCAUGGCCAGGUUGAAGGUGCGGUAACACGUACUGGAGGACCGAACCCACUAACGUUGAAAAGUUAGGGGAUGAGCUGUGGAUAGGGGUGAAAGGCUAAACAAACUUGGAAAUAGCUGGUUCUCUCCGAAAACUAUUUAGGUAGUGCCUCGUGUCUCACCUUCGGGGGUAGAGCACUGUCAUGGUUGGGGGGUCUAUUGCUGAUUACCCCGCCAUAGCAAACUCCGAAUACCGAAGAGUGCAAUCACGGGAGACAGACAUCGGGUGCUAACGUCCGGUGUCAAGAGGGAAACAACCCAGACCGCCAGCUAAGGUCCCUAAGAUUGGCUAAGUGGGAAACGAAGUGGGAAGGCUAAAACAGUCAGGAGGUUGGCUUAGAAGCAGCCACCCUUUAAAGAAAGCGUAAUAGCUCACUGAUCGAGUCGUCCUGCGCGGAAGAUGUAACGGGGCUAAGCCAGUCACCGAAGCUGCGGAUGCACGUAAGUGCAUGGUAGGAGAGCGUUCUGUAAGCCUGUGAAGGUGUCUUGUAAAGGAUGCUGGAGGUAUCAGAAGUGCGAAUGCUGACAUGAGUAGCGAUAAAGGGGGUGAAAGGCCCCCUCGCCGUAAGCCCAAGGUUUCCUACGCAACGUUCAUCGGCGUAGGGUGAGUCGGCCCCUAAGGCGAGGCAGAGAUGCGUAGCUGAUGGGAAGCAGGUUAAUAUUCCUGCACCGUCGUAUGAUGCGAUGGGGGGACGGAUCGCGGAAGGUUGUCCGGGUGUUGGAUGUCCCGGUCCCUGCAUUGGAGAUGGCACUUAGGCAAAUCCGGGUGCGUGAUUCAAGGGUGUGGGGCGAGCGACUUUAGGUCGCGAAGCAAUUGGAAGUGGUUCCAAGAAAAGCCUCUAAGCUUCAGUCAUACGAGACCGUACCGCAAACCGACACAGGUGGGCGAGAUGAGUAUUCUAAGGCGCUUGAGAGAACUCGGGAGAAGGAACUCGGCAAAUUGGUACCGUAACUUCGGGAUAAGGUACGCCCUUGUAGUUUGACUGGCUCGCGCCAGAAGGACGAAGGGGUUGCAAUAAAAUGGUGGCUGCGACUGUUUAAUAAAAACACAGCACUCUGCAAACACGAAAGUGGACGUAUAGGGUGUGACGCCUGCCCGGUGCCGGAAGAUUAAGUGAUGGGGUGCAAGCUCUUGAUCGAAGCCCCGGUAAACGGCGGCCGUAACUAUAACGGUCCUAAGGUAGCGAAAUUCCUUGUCGGGUAAGUUCCGACCUGCACGAAUGGCGUAACGAUGGCCACACUGUCUCCUCCCGAGACUCAGCGAAGUUGAAGUGUUUGUGAUGAUGCAAUCUCCCCGCGGCUAGACGGAAAGACCCCAUGAACCUUUACUGUAGCUUUGCAUUGGACUUUGAACCGAUCUGUGUAGGAUAGGUGGGAGGCUUUGAAACCGGGACGCUAGUUUCGGUGGAGCCGACCUUGAAAUACCACCCUGGUUUGUUUGAGGUUCUAACCUUGGCCCGUGAAUCCGGGUCGGGGACAGUGCAUGGUAGGCAGUUUGACUGGGGCGGUCUCCUCCCAAAGUGUAACGGAGGAGUUCGAAGGUACGCUUGGUACGGUCGGACAUCGUACCUAAAGUGCAAUGGCAAAAGCGUGCUUAACUGCGAGACCGACAAGUCGAGCAGGUGCGAAAGCAGGACAUAGUGAUCCGGUGGUUCUGUAUGGAAGGGCCAUCGCUCAACGGAUAAAAGGUACUCUGGGGAUAACAGGCUGAUACCGCCCAAGAGUUCAUAUCGACGGCGGUGUUUGGCAC